rfam:Roseburia sp. 499 contig000014, whole genome shotgun sequence.
UAAUAGCAAAGCAUAUUGCCGAAGACAGCAGGUGCCGUAAGGCAUAACCGUAGGACCUGCCGAGGGAAUUUACCGAAUGGUGAAUACGAAAUGAUUAUUUCAAGCCUCUUUGUCUCGGACAAAGGGGCUUUUAAAUUGGGCUG